ACAGAGCACAAACUGAAUCAUUACCAGAAGGGAGGUGGGUAGGGGAAGAGUGAAACAGAUAAGGGGGAUUAAGAGUAUGUUUAUCAUGAUAAGCGCUGAGUAAUGUACAGAAUUGUUGAAUCGUUAUAUUGUGUACCUGACACUAA